UUUAUUUGAUUAGUUCCCAAUUUUUACCGUUAACAUUUGGUUUAUUUUUACUGUCGGGUAUCACGUGUUGCAUGUAUUUCAGGUUCUUGGUAUUAUAGUUGGAUGAGGUAAUGAUAAAUAGCGGUAGUGGAUGAAAUGAUCACUCCACUUACUAUUGCUUGUUGCGAAGGAUCUUCCCAGAAAGUCGAUACUGCUGAAGAAAAGAUCGGACACAAUUUCUAAAGCUCAACUAAAGUAGGUUCCCUAUGCAUUCCAAGUUGAGUAAGAA
rnacentral:lncRNA from 1 species